rnacentral:sRNA from 1 species
GUUGAUGCCCUCAACCAAAAGGUCAUUACCGCUGGUGCUGAUGGAACUCUUUGUUUUUGGAAGUUUAAGACUAAAGAGCUUCUGGGUACUUUAAAACUGAAUGCAUUUCUUUCACAGAUUGUGUUGCAUAGAGAUAGCUCAAUGCUGGCAGUAGCUUUGGAUGAUUUUACAAUUAGUCUUGUG